AAUGACGCUAAAAUAGUAUUUUUGGCGUCUUUCUUUAAAACAAACUCUCUUUGUAGAAAUUUUAUAAGAUUUUAUUAAUUAUAAUUAAUUAUGCACAAAGUAACUUAAAAUCACACAAAGAAACAAGAUUUUAUUAAUUAUAAGAAUACAGACCAACUUUAAAAUAAAGUCUAUAGGAAUUUUAAAACUAAAACACCAUGACCACUAAAAAUAUUCCUGUAUCGUUUGAAUUUUUCAAAAAAUACACCUACCAUGAAGAAUGGGUUGAAAGGAUGUUAAAAGUCAAGGCGAAUGGCCACCAAGAAACCUACGAAGCUCUGUUAAAUAGCGAGGAAUCAAAGGAGAAAGCCUUGAGAUCAUAUUAUGAAGCGUUCUAUUUAAAACCACAAAUUAGAGAAAAAUCUCACAUACGUUUAAAGGCAGUACCUAAGAAAAUUAAAGAUAAAUUAUUAGCAAUACCAAUGCAGGACGCUAGUAUGGAAAAUUAUGAGAAGGUUUGUGAUAACAAUUCCAAUGAAUUAGUGCAAGAUGCAAUUGGCGAAAUUGCAGUUGCAGAACAGUUGAAGAUAGGAGAAUGCAGUAUAUCUAAAAAUGAAGAACAGAAACAACGCAUUUUAAUGACUGCAAAAGAUGUUCGUGAUGUAGAUGAUGGACAGGUGGUGGAAGAUGAUAGUGAACCACUUGGUUCACCAGAUGUUAGUUCAAUCCCAAAGCUAGCAAAUGCCAAAGUCAAUUCACCUGUUAAAAUACAAUGCAAAGAACUGCCUUUAACUCUUCCAACCAAAGCUUUAACUUCUUCGGACGGCAACAUUAAAACAAAUUCAAAACCGGUCAUUGGAAAAAUAAUUGAACAACAAACUGCUGUUACAACUAAAGUUUUAACUGAUAAACAAGCCGAACUAAUGGAAACUAACAACAAUAAUAAUAAACCAGAAAUGGCCAAUACAGAAACCAACAAAUCCCUUCCCAUUUUUAAUGCUGAUAACGCGAAACAUUUUAACUAUAAAGACUUGGUACCCUAUAUACAUUGUUGUCCCUUGACGUUAAAGGAAUUUCGUAAAUAUAGUAAUAUCAGACAAUUGACCAAAGAAUUAUGUAAAACAAAACAUAUGGAUGAUAAACAUCAACGUGUAAUAGAACAACGUUCGUAUAUAUUAUUUUAUUUAGCACCUGAACAUCGAAAAAUUACACCACUUAAUAAAAUACAAAUGUUAGACAAUUGUCCGGAAUAUAUAAAAAGUAAAUUCUUUGUAAUUCCCACAAAUCUUUACCUAAAGAAACAGGAUGCAGAUAAAAUCCAGGAAAAUAUAGAAUCUAAAAAUGUUUACGAAACGGAAAGUGUUGGAAAUAAGGAGGAACAUCUAAGAGCAACAGUUACAAAAGCUGUAACUAGUAAGGAGACAACAGAAGACGUAGUAGAACAUAAUAUUAAUGAAAUUGCAACAACAGAAGAUGUUACUCCUAUAGUGGUAGCGGAAAAUCAACAAUUAAUGCCAAAAGACAUUAAUAAAACAAAUGAACAAACAAUUAUAUCCUGUUCUACAACUCACCCAACUAAUGAGAUUAAAAAUUUACCAGUUUCUUUAGAGGAAUUUAAAAAACUUACACAUUUCGAUGAAGUUGUGGAGAAAUUAUUUAAAAUUAAAGCUCAAGAUAAUGAAGAACUUUUUAAUAAAUAUAAAAAUUCUCAGGAAGCUUUUAACACUACUGCUUUUAAUUAUUAUCAAGCUUUCUAUUUAAUACCCAUCAUACGAGAAACGUUUCCUAUACGUUUUAAACCUAUGCCAAGUUCUUUAAAAAAUCGUUUAUUACAAAUACCUAAAGGUAUAGAUAAGACAACACUGAAUAAUUUUAGAAUAGAGGAACUUGUUUCGGUGGAAUUUAAUGCAGAUGUUGAGGUUGAAAAGGAGGCAGUAACUGCUAGUCGAGAAGAGGUUACGAAAGCUUCAAACAACUCUAAUACAUCUCAAACAUCCCCUACAAACACAUCUACGAUCACCAUAAAAACAGAAAAGGAUACAGAAAGUUCAGAUUCAGAUAACAAAACAAAUUCACUUUCUGCUGGUAGCUUAAAGAGGAACACAACUGAGGAUAUGAAAUGUCCUUUGCGAAAACGUCAAAAAACACAACAAACUCAAGAUUAUGAGGAAAAUACUCAAAAAACUAAAAAAUCUUAUAAAGAACUAUUACCCUAUGCCCACUGUUGUCCCGUAACAUUUUCAGAUUUUCGCAAAUAUACCAAUGUUUCGGAAUUAUUUGCUGGCUAUUGUCAAAAACGUUAUAAUAGUCUUAAAAAAUUACCCUAUAUGUUACAACGUGCUUAUGUUCUCUAUUAUUUAGCUCCGGAAAAUAGACAAUUUAAACCUUUUAGCAAGUUAAUAACUUUAGAUGAAUGUCCGGCAGAUUUAAGGGAGAAAAUGCAUCAAAUACCAGAAAAACUCUACUUAAAAGGACAAAAUGCUACAGAACAAAUGGACAUAGAUGAAAUGCAAACUGAAACGUUUAAAGAAAAUCAAUCUGAAAAUUUAAAUCCCCAACAAACAGCUUCAACAAAUGCUAAAAAUAAACGAAAUAGUAUAGAGAUAUUAGAAAAUCGUUUAUUGCCUCCCACACAUAUACCAUUUACAGGACAAGUUAAUGUGGUCAGUCAAUGUCUAAAUAACAAUUGCGUUUUCCAUUACAUCACCCAUGUAGACUUUAUUCAGUUGUCAAAUAUUUUAUACAUAUUACCUGAACCAUCUGAAAUUGCAAUAAUACAAAGUUUUAAAAAAUUUGUUUAUCGUUUACUCAAAGAGAAAAGUUGCGAAAUAGAGUACAAUAUUAGCGCAUCCUUAUUGUGUAAACUUUUUAAAUAUAAUAAAAUGUGUGAAAUAUGUGAAAAAGAUGUAAUGGCUCUUUUUAAGCAGGAUUCACUAACAGCAUGCAAUGAAUCGGCAAAUGAGAAUAGUCUUACACAUGCUGCCAACAAUGUAACUGUCAAUGAAAGAAUGGAUUCGAGCAAUGAAAGAAUGCAAACAAACCAGGAAGCCACAACAGUUGAAACGGAUUCAAGGCAAUCUCAGGCAGUUCAUAAAAGUUCAAACACUUGUUCCACGGAAAGUGACACGAAAAGCGGUCAAAGUCCGAUACAAGACACACCUCAGAUACAAGAAAAAUCACAAAAUUUAUGGAAAAAUUUAAAGUCCGAAAAAAUUUUUCAAAAGUUUUGUCACAAACUUUUAACUAAACUUAAACAAAGCUUUGAUAAUGCCAUAGAUUUUUCUUCUGAUACUUAUGAAAUCUUUUUGCAAUGUAAUGAAAUUCCUAUGGAAAAACUUUUAAAUGAUUUUUGCUUAAACAACAAAGAUAUUGUGGAACGUAUAUUAAAUAAUAAAGAAUUAUAUGAAGCAUUGCAAUGUUAUUUUUACUACAAAUAUUUAACGAAUACAAAUUUCGCCUUAAAAUAUCCGGUGACAAUAAAGGAAAAUGCUAAAGAAACUCAAGGCGAUAAAAGCAAUACAACGAUAACGGAGCCAAAUAAGGAAAAAACACCUCUUAAAACAAAUGGAUUUAAGAACACAACUCCUAAAGCUACUGAAAAACAAAAUAAUAUUGUUAAUCAAGAAACAAAAUCACCAGAAAAACCAACAAACAAUAAUAAUAUAAUAGAAAAAGCCAAACGUAUAUUCUUUCGCAAUGUGGAAAAGACCAAUACUCUCUCCUAUAUACUAUGCACUUCAUUUGGUCUUAAACAAUUGAUUUUGCGCACCAUUUUAUCGUUAACAUUUCAAGAAUUCCUACAACUCACCAGUAUUUACGAAGGCAAACAAUUGUAUAACGAUAAACAUUUAACCGAAUGUAUGUAUCGUUAUGUCUUUGAUACUCCCGUAGUAUGGCCUACGAAUCUCUUUAUAACCCUUAAAGAUUUGUGUGAAUUUUUGCAUAUGAAAAAUAUACGUUUCACUGAUUAUUCCACUAUGUUAAAGUAUAUUUCACCAAAAUUAUUACACUGGUCUGUUCUGUUGUCGUGUACGAAUAUUUUGGAUUGCGUUAAAAUUGAUUAUGAAAAGCGUUCGGGAAAAUUACUAGAUACUGAUGAUAUUAAAACGUUAAAACAGGAAUGUAUUGAAUAUUAUAAUCGUUGUUGGAAAUAUGAAAAAUGGCUGGGAGGAGUACCUUUGGUUAAUGAGGAGUUUUAUAAGGAUUAUUUAAUUAGUAAUGAUCAAGGUGAUGCCACUAUGUUAGAUGAAUCAGCUCUGCAAGAAAUUUGUGUAGAGCCCGACGAAGUUUCAGAUGAUGUUGCAUUGAUUAAUAAUGAUACAGAAGAAUUAGAACCAGAUGAUUCAUAUCAAAAUAAAAGUUUAGAUCCGAAUUCUGCAGCAGAAAUUCGAGACGAAAUACCAACGGUAAUAAACCCAUCUCAAAAUCAAUCUAUAAAAGAAUUUAAUUGUGUUCUACUACCCAACACACAACAACAAAUUGAAAUGCUACCGGCGGAAGCAAGAGUUUCAAAUGAUCCCCUAAAUAACAGUAACAAUGGAAACACAUUAAAUGUAACUUCUUCAACUAAUAGUGAAAAUUAUGAAGUCGUAUGUUUGGGUGAACUUAUCGCUAAUGACAUAAAAUCUGAGCCAAAUAAUAGUAAAUUAUUAACUGAUUUAAUAUUCUACGAGGAUGAGAACAGUAAUAUGCAAUGUGAGCCCUUUUUGCAGGAGAUAGUUAAUUUAGAUGAUUCAACAACAGAAGUUGGUGAAAAUUUACCACCUUCUCAAAUAGAAUUUAGCGAUGCCGUACCAGAACUUAUGUUAUCCACAGAUUUGGCAAAUAGUGAAAGUAGUAAUUCUAUUAUGAAUUUGGCGCAACGUCUGCCAAGUUCGGCAGAAUCGUAUAAUGAAAUUCCAGUAACUCAACAGCAAUUUGUACAGGAACAACAGAAUGCACCCGUAAUACAAAUGAUUAAUGUUAGCUUAAGAAGUAGCGGUGAGAAUGGAAGUCAAGAAAAGCAACAACAGGAAAUGAAUUUAAAAGAUAGCGCAAGAGAAUUAGAAAUAAUAAAAGUAAAUAGUCAAGAAUUUGAAUUAUUACAAACAUCUUUGCAAAGUUUUGCAGUAUAUGCUGAGGCUCAACGUUUUCCUAGUACCUUUGAAGAAACACCAACUUGUAGUGGUUCGUUAAGGGCAGAACCAACAACUUCAAUUGUAUUACAGCCGGAGCUAAUUGAGUCAACCUCAAAUAUGGAACAUUUAAAUGUACCUUUGCCUUCUAAUGAAAUACCACAAGAAGCAGCUACUUUAAAUGCUUCACAACCAUCAACACAACCCACUACUUCUCUACCCAAACGUCGGGGGUUUGAAAAGACUUAUGCCAGAGUAAAAAAUGGCAAAAGCGUGGCAACAGUUAGACCUAUAAAAAAUUCCAAUUUUGUACCACAAAUUCAACAUAAUACCCGUCCUUUGCAAACCAAACCGGCCUAUGCACCUACAACAGCUUCUGAAACUACAACUAUUUCAGAACAACCUCCCUGCUCAAGUUUAACUCCUAUAGAGGAGGACAAUGCAGUAACAAAUGAGCAAUCUGUGGAUAAUCUACCACCUGUUGGUACCACUAUACAAAUUUCUCAAGAAUUCCAAAAAAAUUGUUCAGUUUUUAAUAAUACUUCACUCUUGAGACUUGUUGAUCAUAAUUAUCAAAAACAAAGUCAAACAAGUUUAUCAUCAUCAUUACCCUCAACACAAACACAAAACGAAGGGAAUCAUCAGCAGUUGCAGACCUUUUCUUUAACAUUGACACAAACUGAACAUAAAGAAGCAACAGAAAGUCAAAAACAACAGCCUGCUCGGAGAUCUACAAGAAGAAGUUCUAUGUUAGGUUCACAGCCUACUAAUCCACCACAAAAUACUGUCAGCACCACCACCACGACUUCUAAUCAAAUAAAUCCUCCUGCCUCUCCCACAAGAGCAACACGUAGUAGAAGUAGUUUAUGCAAAGAUGCCAAUGAUAAGAAUUUUUAUAUACGUAUUAGAAAACUUUAAAUUAUACUUUUAAAGGUUUUAUAUUGGCUAUUAUAUUGUUAUUGUUUACACAUUCAAUUAACAACUUUUAUUGAUUUAAAAAAUGGGGCUUACUUGCUGCUAAAAUUCCCUAACACGUUUAAUUGCUUUAUUUUCGCAAUAAAAUGAUGAUUAUAAUAAACGUUUUUUUAGGUUAGGAUUAAUUUUCAACAUUUAAAAUUUUAUCAGUUUCUUAGUUCGUAAUCAUUAUGAUUUAUUGUAAAGCACUUAUUAAAACCCUUAUUUAAAUAAAUUUAAAUUUUCUUUGCUUGAGUGAUUAAAGUUUUUUCAAAACAAAAGAUUAA
rnacentral:misc_RNA from 1 species